GUAUAGAUUUUAUAUAGUCACAACAUUCUAUUAACAUACAUUGGGGUAAAUGAAACGACAUAGACCUGAAAAGGUCUACAAAAGGUGCACAGGUGGAGAUAUAAAAAUGACAAGGCGUGCACAUGCUCCCUAGAGAACCAGCAACAACCCAUCAGGUUUAUUUCAAUAAUGAUCCUUCCGCAGGUUCACCUACGGAAA
rnacentral:misc_RNA from 1 species